rnacentral:rRNA from 1 species
UGUAAAAAGAAAUUAUUAUGGAUAAUUAGCUAUAUAUUAAAGAAUCACAUAGAUGUUAUCUUGAUUCUAAGAGAAAUCCUAAAUAAUAAAACAAAGUGAAUUGAAAUAUCUCAGUAACUUUAGGAAAAUAAAUCAAACGAGAUUAUUAUUUAAGUAAAUACUAAAUAAUAAUAGCCUAAUUUAAGUAAAAUGGAUAAUAUCUGUUUGAAUAUAGGGGAACCUUCCUCUAAGGCUAAAUAUGAUAUAUAAGCGAUAGUGAAUAGUACCGUGAGGUAACAUUUGAAAUAGUAAUUUUAUAAGCAGCUCGAGUAAAAAUUAAAAUUAAAAAUAAGAGUGUACCUUUUGCAUAAUGGGUCAGCAAGUUAAUUUUAGAUGCAAGUGGUAUAAAUAAUUAUAUAUGGUAUAAUCUAUAUAAUUAAAUUACCUAAGAUAAACCAAUUAUGAAAAAAUGAUAAGUAUCUAAAAUUAGACCCGAAGGCUAGUGAUCUUACCAUGAUCAGGGUUAAAAAGGCCCGAACGGGUUAUCGUUGUAUAGAUAUCCGAUGAAUUGUGGUAAGUUAGUGAAAGAUAAAACUGACUAGUAUAGCUGGUUUUCCGCGAAACCUAUGUGAGUAGGUAAUUUAAUUAACAUCUUAGCAGGUACAGAACUGUGAUCUCGGACAAUAUUAUUUUUAUAAUACUUGUUUACAUCGGGGGAUUGUAGUGAUUUUAUCGGAGAGUAUUUGCACUCGGAAGGGCAAAGAUGAAUAUUGAAUAAUCGGACAUAGUACGAUAAGGUUGUAUGUCUAAAGGGAAACAGCCCAGAACAAGAGUUUAAGGUUCCAAAAUUAUUGUUAAGUGAAAUUAAGGAUGUUUUUUUCAAAAACAAUCAGGAAAUAGGCUUAGAGGCGGCCAUUUUUUGAAGAUCUCGUAACAGAGCACUGAUUAAAUUUAAUAGGAAAAAAUACCGAAAAUUUAACGGAUCUAAAUAAUAUACCGAAACCUUGUACACAAUAACUGUGGGGUAGCGGAACAUCGGAUGUUUGAAUAAUUAGUAUAUUUAUUUUAUUAAGUAUACUUACACAUAUAAGUCAAAUGUAUUGUUUAUAAAAAAAUAUAUUUAUAUAUUUUUUUUAUAAAUUUUCAUUUUUCAUAGAUUGGCUCAUAUUUUGAGUUUGACUUAUAUUGUUGAGAGAAUUCCGAUAGAGAAUGCUGACAUGAGUAACGAAAAAGUUAACCUCGCCUUAAGCUUAUGGUAUUUAAAUUAAUUUUCGGUGUCUAAGUAAUUAAUCUAAAGAUAAUUACGAUGACGUAAUGGUGAAUUUUUAAUUUAUAUAAUUAUAAAUUUAACUAAUUACAAAACUAUAAGUAACAAUAUAUAUAAUAUAUUACUAUAAUGAAAGAUUGCAUAACCUUUGUAAAGUAGCAGAGGUUCAGGAAAUAAGUUUUUUAUUAUAUACUAUUUAUAUUAUACAAAAUAUUGUUAUAUUAAAUGAUAUAGUAAUAAAAAAGUAAUUAGCAUAUACCGUACCUAGAUACUAUCACAAGUAAGCAAGUAGAGUAUACAAAGGCGUUUGAGUGAACAAUCAUUAAGGAACUCGGCAAAUUGACUACCGUAACUUCGGGAUAAGGAGAACCAUUUUUAUUAGUUUGACCAAUUUUAUAUUGGAUAAUUAUUAAAUUAAUAGAAAGAGGGGGCAUAGAAUAAUGUUGUACGACUGUUUAAUAAAAACAAAGCACUCUGCCAAGAUAAAAGUCUAAGUAUUGAGUGUGAUGUCUGCCCAAUGUCGGCUGGAUAACGAAUUUAUCUUGAUAUUUAUUUAAGGUUUUGAAGGAUACCCCGAUCAAUGGCGGCCUUACCUAUGAGGGUCCUAAGGUAGCGGAAUACCUUGGCCGUUAAAUGCGGUCUUUGCAUGAAUGACUUAACGAUACAACAGCUGUCUCGAUGAUUGUCUCAGUGAAAUUGGAAUAGCAGUGCAGAUACUGUUUACCUCUAGAUAGACGAGAAGACCCUAUGCAGCUUUACUGUUACUAAUUACAAGAGAUUACUUUAAGUUAAUUGCGAGUGUAUAAGGUAGUCGUAAGACAAUAAUGAAACACCUUUAUUUGUACUUAUUAUCUACUCUUGAUGAUUAGGAGGCAGUUUAUGCGGGGCACAGAUCCCACAAAAAGUACCUGGGUAUAUCCAAAGUUCAUAUUGUAAAUUUGUAAAUUUAGUUACAAAUAUUUUAAUUUGUUAUUAAUUAUGUUAAUAAUAAUACAGUUAUUAUUAGAUUAAAUUCAGUAUAUUUUUUAUUUUUAGUAAGAUUUUAACUAUAUGGUGAAUAGAUGUAUUUUAAGUUAAAUUUUUUUAUUUAGCUUAUUUUUAUAUUAAUAUUGUAUAUGUUCUUUAUUAAUAUAAUUUUUAUAUAUACUAUAAAAGUUUAAUGGCUAAAUCUUGCUUUACUGUUUGACUUACAAGUCUAUCAGUCGCGUAAGCGGGGCAUAUGAUCACAAGAUGCAUAAAGGAAAGGUCUUGGAUUAAAGAAAAAGUUACGCUAGGGAUUUAGCUUAAGUCCCCUAAUAUCAUAAGAUAUUAUAUAUAAUUUGGGUAAAUUUCAAAAACAACUUUAAAAGUGAAUUUGAAGCGAAACUUAUUUUAGCUUUAAUUUUAUAUUUUAUAUAAAAUAAAAUAAGGACGUUCAACGACUAAAAGGUGAGUAUUGCUAACAAUAAUCCUUAUUAGAUACGCCCAACAUCUUUAUAAAUUAUAAUUAGUAUAAAUAUUAUUAUUAUUAUAAUAAUGAAAUAGACUUGAUGUUAUUAUCAAGCUUGUUAUUUUUAUAAUAACAUUAAAUAUAAAUAUGUUAAAUAUUAUAAAAUCUAAAUUGAAUACUUCUUAUAAAAAAAAACGUAGUAAUAAUAAAAAUGUUACUAUAGGUUAUAAAAAUUUUGUACCUGCUAUAAGAGAUUGAAAAAAUAGUAUUUAUGUUUAUAAUAAAAAUACUUUAAGUUUAAUACCAGUAGCUAGUAAUUAUAUUAUGAAAUUAAUUAAAGGUUAUUUUAGUUUAUCUAAUUUAAAAUUAGAAAAAAAAUUAAGAAAAGAAAAUCUACGUCGUAGAUCCAUAAAAUUAUCUACAAAUAAAAUUUUUUUAAGUGAUGGUGAAUUUAAACAUACAAAUGAUAAAGUAAUUAUUACAUUAUAUUUAUAUAAUAGACAAAAAUACAAUUAUUUAUAUAAAUUAAAAAAAAGAUAUGUAAAAUUAUUUGUUAAAACUAAAUUUUUGGAAAAACUAGAUUUAAUUAAAUCUAAAGGAUUAGAAAUUUUAGAAAAACAAAAAGAAUAUAAAAAAGAAUUAAAAUUAGUUUUACCUAGUUAUAAUUAUAAAGUAUCUCUUUUUCAACAUUUAUAUUACAAAAAUUUCAUUAAAAAAAGUUUAAAAAGACUUAAGUUUUAUAUGUUUUAUAAACAAUUACUUUAUAUUAAUCAAAAUAAAUUUAAUUAUUCUUACUUACAAGGUUUAAUAUAUUUAAUAAAAAAAAUUUUUAAUAAAAAUGUAGAAUUAAAUUUAAUAAAUUUAAAAUAUUUUUAUUUUAAUAGUGAUAUUUUUUCACAACCUUUAGUUUUAAAAUUAAGAAAAAAAAGAAAUUUAUUAAGAUAUUUGAAAGCUUGUGUUAGAAAAGUAAAAAUAAAAAAAACUAAUGAAAUAAUAAAUAAUUAUUUUUUUGAUCUUAAUCAAUUGUCUAAUAUAAAAGAUGUAGAUAUUUUAAAUAAUUUGUUAUUAGAGUUAUUAAAACAUAAUGAAAAAAAUUAUAGAAACAAUAUUAUAUUAAGAAAUAAAUAUGGUAUUAAUAUAUUAAAAUAUAUAAUAUUAAAUAAUAUUAAAUAUAAAAGAGUAUCUGGUGUUAGAUUAGAAGCUGCAGGUAGAUUAACUAAACGUUAUACUGCAUCAAGAUCUCGUUAUAAAGUUAUUUAUAAAGGUAAUUUAGAAAAUACACUUUCUUCUAUUAAAGGUUAUUCUUCUGUAUUAUUAAGAGGAAACUUUAAGCCUAAUUUACAAUACACUAAACUAAAUUCUAAAUCUAGAAUUGGUUCUUUUGGUGUUAAAGGUUGAGUUAGUGGUGAGUAAAUUAUCUGUAUAUAUUAAAAAAAUUAUUCUUAUUUAUAUAAAGAUGAAGAAAUAGUCUGAACCAUUUUUUGAAAAAUGGAAAUAAAUAUUUUAUGGUAACAAAAAUUGAACAGGCUAAUUUGCGCAAGAGAGUACAAAUUGAGUGCGCGGUUUGGCACCUCGAUGUCGGCUUAGCUCAUCCACAUGAAUGCAAAAAUCAUGAAGGGUUCGACUGUUCGUCGAUUAAAGAGCUACAUGAGCUGGGUUUAAUACGUCGUGAGACAGUAUGGUUUCUAUCUUCUAGAGGAAAUUGAAGUAAAAUAAAGAUAGCCCCUUCGUACGAAAGGAGUUGGGUAUGUUGAUCUAUGGUUUACUUGUUGUUUAUAAUGCAAUAUUUUUGCCGCUUACUUUUACUUAAGUAAGUUGUUUAUAGGCAUGGCAAGAAAGCUACAUCAAUUAGAGAUAAGUGCUGAAUGCAUUUAAGCGCGAAACUCACUUUAAGAUACUUAUAAACGUAGUAGAACACUACGAUUUAUUAUAAAAAAAUUUUACAAAUAAAUUUUUCUUUAUAAUAAAUAGGUUUUAGUUGUAUAUAAUAUAUAUAUAUAUAUAUAUAUUGACAUAAAAUACUAAUUUUUUUUUUAACUAAAAAUUUUCCAUAGCAAUG